GAUGAACGCUAGCUACAGGCUUAACACAUGCAAGUCGAGGGGCAGCAUGAAGUUUGCUUGCAAACUUUGAUGGCGACCGGCGGAUGGGUGAGUAACGCGUAUCCAACCUGCCCCCUUCCCGGGCACAGCCCUUGGAAACGAGGAUUAACUCCCGGUGGCGUCGCCUUAACGCAUGUUUCGGCGACCAAAUGUUUAAGGAAGGGGAUGGGGAUGCGUCCCAUUAGCUUGUUGGCGGGGUAACGGCCCACCAAGGCUCCGAUGGGUAGGGGUUCUGAGAGGAAGGUCCCCCACACUGGAACUGAGACACGGUCCAGACUCCUACGGGAGGCAGCAGUGAGGAAUAUUGGUCAAUGGAGGCAACUCUGAACCAGCCAAGUAGCGUGAGGGACGACUGCCCUACGGGUUGUAAACCUCUUUUGUCGGGGAAUAAACCGCGCCACGUGUGGCGCUCUGCAUGUACCCGCAGAAUAAGGACCGGCUAAUUCCGUGCCAGCAGCCGCGCAGUAAC
rnacentral:rRNA from 1 species